CGUAUGUAUAUGCGCGUGCGCUUUCCGACUCUUUUCUACCGCAUUGGAAGCCUACAACCGCACACACACACACACACACGCACGUUCGCUCUGUGCAGGUGCGCGUGUCUGUACGCACCCUUUCCUUGCUUUGACUUUACAUUGAUGCGCUGGGGCGCACUUCUUUCCAUCUGCUGAUGCGCAUCGUGUGUGCCCCCUCCUCCUCAUGCUUCUCCACGAGGCGCUUGUUCACACAGAAUGCCCCAUCUGCCUGCAGCCACUAAACUACUGUCUUCGGCCGCCACCCAGUCGCCCUGCCUCUCCGCCCUCCUUCGGCACCUCCGCAGUGGUGGCCACCGGUAGCGGGACCACGAGUAGCACGAGUGCGUCAGGCCACUCCCCACGCUCGCCGCUGCAGCUGAGUGGGUCGAACGCCUCGGGCGGGGCAGGUGAGUUUUGCAUCACGUUUGCACCUGGAGUGUACGGGAGCGAUGCGACAGAUCCGUGGCGCCCAAGCGUCGCCGUCGUGUCUCCAGCGUCCCCUCGUGAAGCGCCAAGCCCGUCGGGUCAGCGCCGCUUUGCGCACAGCGAGCCGUGCCCACCCUUCAGCGGCGGGGGGGCGAAUCUGUCUGGCAGCGGCCACACCGCCGACAGCAGCAGCGACGAAGGUGCCGCCGGUGUUGUGGUGCUGCCGUGCGGACAUCUUCUGCACUACCUAUGCGCUAUGCAGCUGUGCGAGUACGCCAACCAUCCGUCCUGUCCCGUGUGCCGGCUGAAACUCGCCUCCGGCGCCGAUUUGAUUCUCUUCCGUCCUCAGCUGCGAGUGUCGUUGAUCGCCGCAGCCCAGGCGUCUUCCGGCGUCUCUGCCGACUGCGCUUACAUCGAGGGAGAGUGUAAGAGCGCCAUCAGCGUGCGAAAGCGUUGUCGGCUCGAAGAGGCGGAGAGUGAGGACGGCCAUACGCACGGUACGGAUAGCCACCGAGCGGACGGCGAGGACGCCAACAGUGUGCAGGUAUGCUCGCCUCAGUCGGGAUCGCAGCGCGGCUGCGUGCCGGGUCCUUCUGUCGCGCGCACCUCCACGUCUCAAUCCGGUGGCGAGCUUAGCGCCCCCAAGCUCAUUCUCGGGGACGAUUUGGAGCUGACGGACACCUGUGCGGCGCCGAAGACGCAGGGUUUGCCUGCCACAUCUCUCCAGAACAGCGGCGGCGAUGCAGACGCAAACCAAAGCGAGGACGACAUCACGAUCAUCGGUGCCCGUCAACUCCCGCCCUCCCAGGCCUAUGCGGAACUGCUGCUUCGCACCACUGCAACGUGGGCAGAGCGGGCAGAGACGCUCAAGGCGCGAGUGGAACACCUUGAGAGGAGUCAGCAACUGCUGCAGAGCGACUGCAGUGAGCUAGAGCGCACCCUCACCGUUGCGCGUCGUCGCCGAGAGGUGUUGCUGAGUCUUCCAUCGUCGAAAGAUGAGCAGGAUGUACUUCCAUCGGCUCAGAGGUUGCGUGAGCUGCGACGCCUCUGUCUUGAGACACGGACAGCCAUGUCGUCCACUACGACACAGCUGGCAGAGGCGAUCCGCGGCCACGCGGAGGUGCGGCGGCAGACAGAGAAGUACGUGCGCAAGCUGUCAAGGCUGGAGUCUGGCAAAGGAGUCGGGAGAGCUGGCGGCGACACUGCCAUUGCCUCUGCCUCUGCCUCUGCCGCCGCGGUGAAAGCAGGCCUACCGCCUCCGCCAUCACGACGGCAGCCGCCACAACGAGGUGCAACACCGGCAGGGGAGGCAGCAGCAGCAGCAGCGGCGCUCGAUGGCCCGCCCUGAAACUUUGUACGAGCAGUGGGCCCAUAUUUCGCAGCCCUUGUAGGUGCCUGUGAACUCUUCCGUGCUAAUCCCUACGUGGGCGGAGCGUGAGAGCGCGCGAGAUGUUCCGUCCUCUUGUUCACCCAUGAAGCCCCCGCCUUGCACGCCCGCUACCAACGUGCGCCGACAGUCUAUCCAACAAGAGACUACAGAGCCGUUCUCUUUGGAUGUUGUUGAAGAAUG
rnacentral:misc_RNA from 1 species